UGGGGAAUAUUGGACAAUGGGCGCAAGCCUGAUCCAGCCAUGCCGCGUGGGUGAAGAAGGCCUUCGGGUUGUAAAGCCCUUUUGUCCGGGAAGAAAUUGUACGGGUGAAUAUCCCGUGCCGAUGACGGUACCGGAAGAAUAAGCACCGGCUAACUUCGUG
rnacentral:rRNA from 1 species